CAGCGGCAGCCGCACAUCAGCAGCUUGCUCUGUUCCAUCCGGCAGCAAUGGCGGCCACCACCACCAUGGCGCUCUCCUCCCCCGCGAUCAAGCUCGCCGGAGCCUCCUACGCCCUCGGCGGCGGCGGCCGCAUCACCAUGCGCAAGGCCGCGCCCAAGGCCUCCGCCUCCAACAGCCCGUGGUACGGCCCCGACCGCGUGCUCUACCUCGGCCCGCUCUCCGGCGAGCCCCCGAGCUACCUCAGCGGCGAGUUCCCGGGCGACUACGGGUGGGACACCGCGGGCCUCUCCGCCGACCCGGAGACCUUCGCCAAGAACCGCGAGCUCGAGGUAAUCCACUGCCGCUGGGCCAUGCUCGGCGCGCUCGGCUGCGUCUUCCCCGAGCUGCUCGCUCGCAACGGCGUCAAGUUCGGCGAGGCAGUCUGGUUCAAGGCGGGCUCCCAGAUCUUCAGCGAGGGCGGCCUCGACUACCUCGGCAACCCUAGCUUGGUCCACGCUCAAAGCAUCCUUGCCAUCUGGGCUUGCCAGGUCGUGCUCAUGGGCGCCGUCGAGGGGUAC
rnacentral:lncRNA from 1 species